UAGGGGAGAAAAAUUCCAGCUUUCCUGGUGCUCACAUGAAAAGUGUCAUAAAGAGAAACAAAGCAGGGAGGAAGCUAUGAAUGUGGAAGGAGGACAAAACUGGAAUGAUCACUAAAUUAUAGAACAAUCAGCCUGAAUAACCAACCAAAGACUUGCUAAAUAGAAGUGUUGUAACCAAGGACUUACAGAAGAAGCCACAUGAAGACUGGUAGGAAGGGCAGAAAGUGGAAAGAGCUGGCUCAGCACUCACAUGUGGCACUUGAGAAUUUGCUACAAAGCUUACUGGGAUGGAGAUAUGUGCCGGGUGAUCUUGAAGGCCGUUUGUUGAAGACAGCGGAAUUGCUAUCAACCUGCUAGCCCUGAGGAAGAGAGGUGCUGCCGAUGUGCCACGCCUGCCUCAGACUACAACGUUGGCGACAUCUCUGCUCCUCGCUUACCGCAGGGCCAGGGCAGCCCCUCUCCGGGACAUCUGGUGUCUUGGCAGAGGACAAAGCCAACAUGACAACUAUGAGCAGUCCCUUAAAGCUUCUGCUCCAAAGCAACAUGCAUCACUCCUGUCUACAUCUCGU